GCCAGUGAUGGGCGGGGCUUAAGUGGACACGUGUCCCGUCCCCGCUACUGGCCCCGCCCUCGGCGCCCGCGCUCAGAGGAGCGGCCGCGACAGGGACAGGGACAGAGACAGGGACAGAGCUGAGCCGGGGACAGGGACAGGGACAGAGCUGAGCCGGGGACAGGGACAGAGACAGAGCUGAGCCGGGGACAGGGACAGGGACAGAGCUGAGCCGGGGACAGGGACAGAGACAGAGGUGAGCCGGGGACAGGGACAGGGACAGAGCUGAGCCGGGGACAGAGACAGGGACAGAGCUGAGCCGGGGACAGGGACAGGGACAGAGCUGAGCCGGGGACAGGGACAGAGACAGGGACAGAGCUGAGCCGGGGACAGGGACAGAGACAGAGCUGAGCCGGGGACAGAGACAGGAACAGAGCUGAGCCGGGGACAGGGACAGAGACAGGGACAGAGCUGAGCCGGGGACAGGGACAGGGACAGAGCUGAGCCGGGGACAGGGACAGAGACAGGGACAGAGCUGAGCCGGGGACAGGGACAGAGACAGAGCUGAGCCGGGGACAGGGACAGAGACAGGGACAGAGCUGAGCCGGGGACAGGGACAGAGCUGAGCCGGGGACAGGGACAGGGACAGAGCUGAGCCGGGGACAGGGACAGAGACAGAGCUGAGCCGGAGCGGCGCCGGGGACAGGGACAGAGCUGAGCCGGGGCAGCGCCGGGGACAGGGACAGAGCUGAGCCGGGGCAGCGCCGGGGACAGGGACAGAGCUGAGCCGGGACCAGGGAAAAGCCUCCUCUCUCCGGGAGGCCGCAGCUGGCGCGGGGCUGGCGCUCAGAGCCCGCACAGCCACUACGGGCACCAAGGAACGCCCAUCCCUGCCCGGCGCCCCGGAUACCCCUGAGUGUGUCCUGCGAGCCUCGGAUCGGCGGAACACCCGUGUCCGAGCCGGGCACACCGCACUGCAGCCCCAGCCGGGGGGUGCCGAUGCGCUGGAGUUUUAUUGCUUUCCAGUACCUCCCACUCAACAGCUUGGAAGAGUCCAAUAUUUAUCUUGUGUGGAAGUCUGAAGUCCCAGCAGUGACUAAGCAGAACCCUUAGUCCCUCACAGAACCUGGACCUACAGGGACAAGGGUGAUGAAGGGAACCUACAGAAAACAUUGACUGUAACCCAACAAUGAGAGCCACUGUGAGAGACCUGGUGGGACAAGGAGGACAGACUAUGGGAGAGAAACUCAGCAGAAGGAAAGGAGUGCUGCAAAUCCUAGUCACCAGAAGUCUCCCAAGUCUGGGCAUGGAUUUUUGCAUGUCAGUGUCUUGGCUGAUAUGUUUACAAGUUGGAUACAACAUAAGAAUUUGUUCUUGUUUGUUCUGCUAACUCCUAAGAACAACAGACAGGUAAACACUUACACUUGCAGAGCACAUUUAUAUGAAGGGUCAGACUGUCUCCUCUGAGGCAGAAGGUGAAUUUCAAUACUAUGUUUUUGACUCAAAUGCUUUAUAUAUUCAUUGCAGCCAAUUUUGAAUGAGUGCCAGCUUGCACAAGCUGGUUUUAAUAACUAGUUUGGUGUGCUGCAGGCCUCAGUAUGUAUCUUGCUCUGCCUGUUCCAUUAUUGCUCAACUAUACACUGACAAUAAAACAAGCACACAGAAUUUA